AUGGCGACGGCGCGCCACCGCGGCAUGCCGCUGCGCGAAUGCAACCUGCUCAUCAGGACCCUCGCGAGGCGCAGCAGCUACGCCGAUGUCAUGGCGGUCUACUACGACCUCCGCGGGCGCGGCCUCGUGGCCGACAGCUUCACCUACCCGUUCGUGCUCAGGGCCAUCGGUGCCCUCAAGCUACCGGUCGAGGGGCGCAAGGCGCACGCUGCGGCCCUGAAGACCGGUUUCCGGUGGGAUGCCUACACCGCGAGCUCGCUCAUGGACAUGUACACGAUGGUGGACCGCCCUGAAGUCGCGCGGAAGGUGUUCGAUGAAAUGCCGCAGAGGGCGCUGGUCGUGUGGAAUAUGAUGAUCAGGUGCUAUGUCAGACGUGGCCGAAACAGAGAAGCGGUUGCUUUGGCUGAGGAGAUGGAGAAGGGCGGUCUCACACCCGAUAGGGUGACGUUGCUGACCGCACUCACCGCGUGCUCCAGAGCCGGUGAUCUGAGCUUAGGAAGGAGAAUUCAUGCCUACAUGGAUGGAGUCACUGGGUUCAGCCUCCCAGUUGCGAAUGCACUGCUGGACAUGUACAUGAAGAAUGGCUGCUUGGAAGAGGCGGUGAAGCUGUUUGAAAAAAUGCCGUCGAGGAACAUCAUUUCGUGGACUAUACUUGUGUCGGGAUAUGCCUUUGCCGGACAAGUGGAGAAGGCGAGAGUACUCUUCCACCAGUGCACAGAGAAGGAUCUAAUUAUGUGGACUUCUAUGAUCAACGCGUAUGCACAACAUGGAUGCUUCGUGGAGGCAUUGUCGUUGUUUCGAGACAUGCAGAUGCAUCAAGUUGUGCCAGACAGGUUCACUGUUGUCACUCUCCUGACAUGCUGUGCCAAUCUUGGUGAAUGGAUCCACCAGUUUGCUCAAGGUAAGAAGAUGAAGCCUGAUGCAGUUCUUGGCACUGCGUUGAUUGACAUGUAUGCCAAGUGUGGGCAUGUAGAGAAGGCAGUGGAGGUCUUUGAACGAAUGGAAGGCAGAGACACUACGGCCUGGACUGCCAUUAUCUGCGGCCUGGCCACAAAUGGUCAGGCAGGUAGAGCCCUCGAAUUGUUUGAGGAUAUGGAGAGAAGCAAUGCUAAGCCUGACAGCGUUACCUUCAUUGGGGUGCUGAGUGCAUGUUGCCAUGGUGGCUUGGUUGAUGAAGGGCGGAAACAGUUUCGUGCCAUGAAGGAGGUUUAUCAGAUACGACCAAGAGUUGAACAUUAUAGUUGCCUUGUCAAUCUUUUAGGUCGUGCUGGUCAACUUGAUGAAGCUGAGAAGUUGAUUAACAAUAUACCAAUUAACAAGGACGCUAUGCCACUGUUUGGUGCACUCCUCACUGCUUGCAAGGUUCAAGGCAAUGUCGAGAUGAGUGAAAGGCUGACCAAACGAAUAGGCAAGCAAGGCUACCAAAUUCCUGAUGUGGAUUUGCUCAUGUCUAAUGUGUAUGCAACUGCAAGUCGAUGGGAGGACGCAGUAAGAGUAAGGAGCAAGAUGGCACACCCCAGUGUCAAGAAAAAUGCAGGGUGCAGCUUGAUCGAGGUGAAGGGAUUCUGA
rnacentral:rRNA from 1 species